GAUUCUUCAAAACUUAUAUAUAUACACCAUUUCUACAUAAAUUGGAGUAAAUUGCUUGCUUCUAAAUGAAAAACUAAAAACAAGGAUAAAUACGCAUCUAAGAUGGAUUUUCCAAUUUUCUUAAGGUUUCCUUUUGUAACACACAUUCAUUAGUACGGAAUAUGAUGAACUAAAUAACUGAUUGUCAUAGCUGCUUUCUGGUAUUUGUUCUUGUAACCUAAUCCAUGAUUUAGGUGUCUUUACUGAGGCUACUAAUUGAUGCAUUAUCCAAGAGAGUGCUUUUUCUUUUUCCUUUUUUACCUUGACUAGUUUAGAUACUGUUGUGGGGAUGAUUGCACAAGGGGGGGCCC
rnacentral:misc_RNA from 1 species